rfam:Aedes albopictus isolate Foshan contig139334, whole genome shotgun sequence.
CAAACGGUCCUUUUCAGGACCACCGAAAAAAAAAAUCCUCAAGAGUU